GGAUCGGGAGUGCUCAGAGAUGGGUGUGCCUCUUUUGGGGUCGGUUCACAGGUGGUGCAUGGCUGUCGUCAGCUCGUGUCGUGAGAUGUUGGGUUAAGUCCCGCAACGAGCGCAACCCUUGUUCACUGUUGCCAGCACGUUAUGGUGGGGACUCAGUGGAGACCGCCGGGGUCAACUCGGAGGAAGGUGGGGAUGACGUCAAGUCAUCAUGCCCCUUAUGUCCAGGGCUUCACGCAUGCUACAAUGGAUGGUACAGAGAGUGGCGAGCCUGUGAGGGUGAGCGAAUCUCGGAAAGCCGGUCUCAGUUCGGAUUGGGGUCUGCAACUCGCCCUCAUGAAGUCGGAGUCGCUAGUAAUCGCAGAUCAGCAACGCUGCGGUGAAU
rnacentral:rRNA from 1 species